AAAAGUUUUCGCACAGCCACCCAGGGAGAAUUUACUAAUGAGUGAAUGUUUUUGCAUUUCGAUUACAGGCAUGUUUCUUCACACCUUAUUAUCUUAUCUGCAGUUCUAAAUUCAUUUGUGAUAUUUAAAAUGGGUUUGCUCUUUAAAAACCUUUUUCUGUGUGGAAAUACAAGAUUCUUUUAGACUCAUUUGUUGGGAUAUUUUUAACGGGGUCUGCUGAAAGUGAGUAGGCUGUUUUUAUUGGGUUAGCCUCAUGGUUAUUAAAAAAUUCACACUUAUUGUUGCUAUUUUUUUUUUUAAAUUGCCAUUUGUGAUUCAGGAAUUAGAUAUUUUUUGCUCACACUGAAAAUGGUUUGAUGUGGAAUGUCUUUUUGGGUGAAAAAUAACAAGUUCUUUUAGAUAUUUUGAAGGGCGAUCGAUUUUAGUGUUGAUUUCAUUUGCUAAAAUUGAAUGGGUUGGUUUUAAAUUGUCCGCUUUGAGUAUGAGAAAUCACAUUUUUAGAUUAUUUAGGUUUUGGGACAAAUUUAUGGUUGCUUUUUUUUUUUUUUGGCCCCCCCCCCCCCCCCCCCCGGGUAUGGUUUAUAGUACUGGGCAUUAAAGUUUUGACCAUAAUCACUCUUACGAUAUGGUUUACCAUCCUUUAAGGUGUUUCUGAAGUUAUCAUUUGUUUAAGGCCAAUAAUAUGAGUUAUUAGUCUACGUUUGUACUCUUUCUUUUUUCUCUUAUUUUUUGUUUUGUUCACAAAUUGGAGACUUUAUUGGUAGUUCAAACAGUUUUAGACAUGAAUGAUAUCAUUCUUGCAUGACUCUUGUUUGAUACUCUGCUCAUUCAAAUUCCUGGUUGCAAAUGGAGCUUCGUAACCUUUUCGUGCAACUGAUUUUCAAAUAGAAUUCUUGUUUAGCUAUAACCAAUAAGAUAGAUAGAAUGGAGGAUGGAAACACAAUUGACCCUUGGAUUUGAAGUUCAAAAAUGAUUACACAGAGUGUAGGUUUUAGAAUGAAGUUAACUCUUCAUUGAUUAGGAUAGUUUAGUUGAUUGAUGAUUAUAGGGAGAUGUUUAAUGUCACUACCUUUUGGGAUAUUUUGAAUGACAAGAGUUCACGCGUUGAUGAAUGAGCAUAAGAGAGAAAACUGAUUGACGAAGUGAAUGAACAAUAUAGUUUUUUCUUUUGCAGCCCAAAGAUUCUGUAUUGAGGAUUUGAUGAUGACUUAAAAAUGAGAUUUCUGUUUUGACAUAUGCGCACUAUUUUUUAGGCUAUAGGAAAUAAUUUGAAGAGAAUUUGGGUAUUGAUGAUCUAUGUGACUUUCAGAAAAAGACUGCAGUUGAGAAACUCUUAUGCUAAUUAUGACUGUUUCUAGUCUCUUGUGUAGCACUUCUAUCCCACCUUAAAUUUUUUUUUUUUUUUUUUUUGGGUAUUUUUACCUUGAUACCCUAAUAUUCUGUCUUACCUCUUGGCUUAUUUGCUUUGAGAAUAUCCAGUUAACUGUAACUUUUAAAUUACUUUUUGUCAUUUUUUCAAGAGUAAAGGGAUUUUUGGAUUUGUACACAUAUUCACCUGUAACGGAACUUACUGCUCAGCGAAAAGUUUUUAGCAAACAACUUUUCACUUGCACAUGAUAUAUCCUUUACUAGGCCAAAUAGCACCGUUUCUGUUGAGCAUACUUAUCAAGGCGCAGCCUGCAGGUUUUAGUAACGGAAAAUUGCAGUGAGAGGUGUCUUGAAAUGUAGAAACAGUGCCUGAAAUUAUAUAUUAGCAUAAACGAGAAUCUUUUUCUCUGUGCUAUAUGGACGAGUUAGUCGUUCUGUAAUUGCACUCUGAUAGUUGAUUUAUAUGCCAAGAGCACAUUAUAUAUGCAUUAGAAACUAGUUGGAUUGAAGAAUUUGGAAGGUUUUAAUUACAAAUAGUUCUUUUUCCACAGCCAUUUCUUGCAGAAUAUUCUUAUAGAUUAUCUUGUACUGGCUUCCCAGAAAUAAUUUGCCCUUAUGUUCAUGGGAUCUGGAUGCUAGAACCAGAGUUGAAUUUUUGAAUCUAUUCAAUCCUCAAUUGUUUCAGUACAAAAACAUAAAUACCCACCUCAUAUUUGGUGGUUGAACUCAGGAAAGAACAAGUUGGUAAUGGUAUUCAGUUGGGUAUUCAUUUAGGAUUGUAUUUAGAUGGUAGAGUUCUGAGUACAGGGUGCAUUAAUUUCCUAUAAUCCAUUGGAAUACAAUUAAUCUAAAUCAUCUAGACUUAUCCUUCGGUGCUUCAGUUUUGGUUCAGAAAGUAUUUUCUUAACCACUUUUAACAGGGAAUCACCUGCGAAUUAGCCAGGAUCUGUUUUGUGCCUUAGGUUGAAAAGGAUUUUUGUGGGUUUAUUUUGUGCCAUAGGUUGAAAAGGAUUUUUGUGGGUACAAGGCAGGCUGUUUUGGUGUUAGAGAUGAAGCAGGUCAUAUAUGAAUGUGGAAAACAGCCGUUUCCCUUUUUCUAAUGGCACCUGAUUGAACUGUGUACUUUUUAGUAACUCAAUAUUCACAGCCCUUUCCUGUUUCGUUAUGCAAUUAUUUUGAACACGUGAUUUAAGGUGCUUGUACUCACAUUUCUAGCCUUUGAUGCUCGGACUCUUCAAAAUGGUCGGUGUACCUAUGUUGGACACGACAUGACAUGGGUAUAGGAUAUGUGUUGGAUCCUUCAAAUUUAAAUAGGACACGUCGCCCUUUUUGCUUUUUUUUUUU
rnacentral:lncRNA from 1 species